UCUUUUCGCGUGUUCUCUUUCAUUCGUUGAAGCAGAAAAAGACAUUCGCCUGAUGUACAGCGCAUACUCUAGUGUCCCCUUUGGUAUGUGAUGCGCCAUUAUUAUUGGAGUAACAUUCGUUAGUGGACCCCACUUGGUAUCCGCCCAGUUGCAGGAUUGACUGGUGGAUAGCACGACCACGUAGGUCAUCACCCCUCUUUACUAGUUCUUACUCGUAGUAGUAUCUUACUGCUAAAGUCUUUUGAUACGGAGUACGUAAAGCCUAAAGUUUUGGUCUCCGAAGGCUUUUGAAGGCUUGUAAGUCGUGGUUCGACAUCAUGGUUUGUUCAUUUCUUUCAGCAGUGUAUGUCUUUCACUAUCGCUUGUGCUGGACGAAUGGUCAUUCAUUCUUUACUACAAAUAAAUACCAUUGCCAGCUGGCCCCCGCGCUUGUCUAUUAACUAGUUGACUAUUGUGGAAUCGCUUUACUCAUCACACCACAAUUUUCCGAAUCCUCAUUCCUUCCGUUCAUCAAACUGAUAAGAGAUUAAANNNNNNNNNNNNNNNNNNNNAAGGCGCCUACAAAUCGACAACGCUAGUAGUUGAUUGAUCUGAUUCGUUGAACUACCAUGACAUACAUACUAGAUUAAUAACUAGCACCGAGAUACUAACUACUACGUACUUGUAAUUGACUGACCGCUCUAGAUCCGUCAGUCAGUCUACCCCUCCUCAUUCUUCCACUUCUUCAAUGUUUCAGCUGUAGAAGAACCAACGCCCUCCAAUCAGAUCCUCAAAACCGAAAAGGCUAUCAGAACAAUGGAUGGUUCAUACACCAUAUCGUCAAUCGCCGAAAUCACUGGCAGCCUAUCAUUUCAAUCCCCUUGCAUUCGCGAGCGGCAAAUAUCAUUCACCGUCCAUUCAUAAUUCAUGAAGCGCAAAGUUUCAUAAUUACAUAACUGACUACUUCAUACAUAAGUUAACUAACUUUAACUAACUUGCACUCUGUAACCACUAACCUCUGGAAGUGCUGAGCUGAGGCAUGUCCGCUCGGGCCCCUCCCCUCGUUUUCCAUUCGCCUCGGCGCAUAUAGAUUAUGUACAACAACGUCAAGAAAAGACCCUGAGAUGCAACAACCCGUCUUCGCAUAAUCAGCUAAACCGAGAGAAUCUUAAAUUGUAUGUGAGUGCAAAACUUAACUUGUUUAUUAAGACCGGAGCCACUAUAUUACUUGAUGCUACUAUGUUUUUAUACAUAUACAUAUGUUAUGUCACUGGGCUGUUCAUCAGACAAGUUAGCCUAUGAAAAAGAUGAAUUAGUCUCAAACAUAUGUUUCUUAUCUCAAGGAACGAUUGACAAAUAUUUCUUUUUUUUUUUUAGGUAAUCGAGAAAUUAAAGCUGACUGAGUCGCAUCGGUUGAUUUACUAGAUGACUAGUCAGCCUAUAGUUAUGUGACUAUCGACCUGAUAUCCAUUGACUAUCUGGUAACUCGACCCUAUUUACCUAUUUAGCAAUCAUGCCCGAAGUUGAUACAUGUCCUUAACCUGGAAACUAUCAAAAAAUAUCAUCCUUGGCCAAAAGCUCCAGAAAAAUAGGCGAAAUUAAGUGACUAGAACUACCCUAGCUACCUAGGAACUCUACCUUGAAAGAAAUUUCUCCUGGCAACAUCCAUGUAUAUCAAUAUCUGUGUAACCUGGAUAGAUCAUA
rnacentral:lncRNA from 1 species